rnacentral:tRNA from 1 species
AGCUUUGAGGUGAUUAUUCAUAUUGAAUUGCAAAUUCAAAGGAGCAGAUCGGCUUCUCCCGCCCUCC